rnacentral:rRNA from 1 species
UGCGGAGGGUGCAAGCGUUAUCCGGAUUCACUGGGUUUAAAGGGUGCGUAGGCGGGCAGGUAAGUCCGUGGUGAAAUCUCUGAGCUUAACUCAGAAACUGCCAUGGAUACUAUUUGUCUUGAAUAUUGUGGAGGUAAGCGGAAUAUGUCAUGUAGCGGUGAAAUGCUUAGAUAUGACAUAGAACACCAAUUGCGAAGGCAGCUUACUACACAGUUAUUGACGCUGAGGCACGAAAGCGUGGGGAUCAAACAGG